GAAAAAAGGGCAAAGAUGGCGAUAUUCAGUGUGUAUGUUGUAAAUAAGACUGGGUGGAUUAAUUUACCAGUAUGACAAUUAUGUACACAGAGCAGAAGCAGAGAAAACAUUCAGAUAUCCUUUAGAUUUUGUGUUAAAGAUCCACGAUGAGAAAGUUGUUGUAUCAUUUGGUCAACGCGAUGGAAUCCGAGUGGGCAAUGCAUCAAUGAAUUGGACGUCAACGGUAAAUUCACGGCGGAUGGGAAGGAGAUCAUCGAAUACUUGAAAGACUCAACAAACUAUCCGUUGUCCAUACUUUUCGGAAGGGCUCGCUUGAGCUCCAAUGAAAAACUGAUGCUGGCUUCAAUGUUUCAUUCGUUGUUUGCUAUUGGUUCACAGCUGUCCCCUGAAGUUGGCAGUGCAGGAAUUGAGAUGCUGGAGACAGAUAUGUUCUGCACUGCUUUCAGACACUCACUGGUAUAAAGUUCAUUGUGCUGACAGACCCCUGGCAGUCUGGCAUUGAUGCACUCCUGAGGAAGAUUUACGAGAUCUAUUCAGACUUCGCCCUCAAGAACCCCUUCUACUCUUUGGAGAUGCCUAUCAGCUGGCCUACCUAAGGGAAAAUUGCUGUUCUGCCUCCAGGACAAGACAUGAAAAUAGACGUCAACCUUCGCAAAACAGAGGUACAACGCCGGUGUUAAUGUAUCAGACUUCCAAACCAAUGAGUGUUGACUGGCCCUUGUCCUGGAUGAGGAAGAGCUGGCCUCAGUCAGUGUAGGCCGUCUUCACCCCGAAUACCACCAGGUAGCCCACAGACAGCAGCCACAGGUAGCGGGACAGGAUGAACUCUUUGAAGGUGGUCUCAUCACUGGGUGAGCCUGGUAAGGGAGAGAGGUUUAAGUCACACUAGCACAUAGCUUAGAGAGUGGCUCCCAAGUGGCGCAGCAGUCUAAGGCACUGCAUCUCAGUGCUACAGGUGUCACUACAGACCCUGGUUUGAUUCCAGGCUGUAUCACAACCGACCGUGAUUGGGAGUCCCAUAGGGCAGCGCACAAUUGGCCCAGCGUCGUCCAGGUUAGGGUUUGGCCGGGGUAGGCCGUAAUUUUAAAUAAGAAUGUGUUCUUAACUGACUUGCCUAGUUAAGUAAAGGUUAAAUAAAAUCUUGAACUCGUUCACACUAGCAUGUGAGGGGCACACUGUGUGCAGAGUACAUUCUCAGAGUGUCACUGAUUUUACACACAAUUUCACAUGCAGACAAUACUCAGAAAAGCAUGUGUUCAAAUGAGAACCUGUGCAUAUCACAUUCACACACAUUUUGAAAUGUUUCAACCACAGAACCAAAUGAGGUUAGCUCCAAGCUCUGACCUGCUUUGACCUUCUAGCCCCCCCCCCCCCCCCCCCCCCCCCCAGUGUCGAUGUUGGGCAAGCCCACGUUCUUGAGCUUGUUCCUGAUCAACAGCAGGCAGACGAAGGAGACCACACAACAAGAGAGACCUGAGAUGGACAGGGUCGUCCUCCAGCUGUAACUCUGGGCCAUCAAUGUUGCAAUAAUGGGGCCUAUACUCCCAGCCAGGUUCAUACUGCAGGACAGAAUUGCCUGACAGAGCUUGAGGAUCUGCAGAGAAGAAUGGGAGAAUCUCCCCAAAUAGAGGUGUGCAAGCUUGUAGCGUCAUACCCAAGAAGACUCAAGGCUGUAAUCACUGCCAAAGGUG